CCAACGGCCCUCUUUAGGGCCACAUAUGUGUACUACACGAAUCGAAU
rfam:Heligmosomoides polygyrus genome assembly, scaffold: HPBE_scaffold0001137